UAAUCUCAUACGUGAUAUUGGAGUGGUAUCGGAGAGCUAGGAUCAAAAGCAUGCGGCGCCAGACGUUUCACACAACAACCGAAACCAAUGCUGUCCCGGUUUUGCUCCUACUAUACGUCUUUGCAACAGCGAUGCCGGCAGGGGUCACGUUAAACAUGGCACGCAUUAGUAUUUUUCUCCUGCUUGGCUCCUCGUACUUUGAGAAGACCACCAACAGGAACAUAUAAAUUUGCGAGAUUUGUUUUUCUCCUUACAGCUUUCCAUUAUUUUAGAAAAUCGAGAUGUGCUUGGCAGAGGUGGUAGCCAUGUGCGUGAAGACAUUUGAAUUCAUGGACCAGAUCUUGGUAACGUGCCUCUCUAGCCUCACCAUUUGUUGCUAUGCACCCAACGAGCAUCUACCAAGCAAGCAAGAGAAACAGAGAGUGAGAGAGAGUGUGUGUGAGCACUCCACUGAGCGGGUCGAGCUGAGCAUGGAGCUCGCCUUGGGGGCCAUGGCCGGCCUGGCCCCCAAGCUGGGCGACCUGCUCAUGCAGGAGUACGUCGUGCAGAAGGGCCUGAAGCCGGACAUCGUGUCCCUCUCCAGGGAGCUUGUGACGAUGAAAGCUGGCCUGGAGGACUUGUCUAAGGUUCCACCGGAGCAGCUCACUGAGGUGGAAAAGCUUUGGGCACGCCACAUCCGGGAGCUGUCGUAUGACAUGGAGGAUGCUGUCGAUGACUUUGUCCUGCGCGUGGCCGGCGGAGAGUGUGCAGCUGAUGCCAACGUCUUCAAGAAGAUCCUUGGCAAGGCUGCCGCUGCGGUGAAGAAGGUCAAGCAUCGCCGUCAGAUCUCUGACAAGGUCAAAGACAUCAAGAAACUCUCCAACGAGCUGGCUGGGCUCCGUGCCAAGUACACAGUUAGAGGCGCAGGGGCUGAUCUGGCCAUGAGCACCGGCAUCGACCCCCGUGUCCUCAAUCUGUACAAGAAAGAGUCAGAUCUUGUUGGCAUUGAAGAGUCAAGGAACAAAGUCAUCAAGAUGCUGUCUAUAGGGACCAAAGAUGAUGCUUAUACUCAUGCGUCUGAGCUGAACCUGAAGAUAGUGUCUAUAGUUGGGGUUGGAGGAUUGGGUAAGACUACUCUAGCCAAAACAGUGCAUGAUAUGCUUAAGAAUCAAUUCGGUUGUUCUGCUUUUAUUUCGGUUGGUAGGACUCCUAGUUUGACUAGGACAUUUGAGAAGAUGUUAGUGGAACUCGAUAAGAAUUAUAAGCAAGUCGACAUGGCCAGAUGGGAUAUAGAGCGAUUUGGAAACGAACUGCAUGAAUUCUUACAGGACAAGAGGUACUUCAUCGUUGUUGAUGACAUAUGGGAUGUUGAAUCAUGGGAAGCGAUAAGAUAUGCCUUGAAGGACAACAAUUGUGGAAGUAGAAUAAUCAUUACUACUCGCAAUUUGGAGGUUGCCACAAAAGCAGGAGAGGUUUACAGACUAAAACAUCUUUCUGAUGGAAACUCUAGAAUAUUAUUCUACAAAAGAAUACAGAGUCAGGAAGGAGAAAGUCUUGAUGGUGUAUCAGGUGAAUUGUCUAGUAAAAUCAUAGAUAAAUGCGAUGGCAUACCGUUGGCUAUCAUUGCAAUAGCUAGUUUAUUGGUUGAAAGACCAUAUGAGGACUGGUCAAUCGUGUAUGAUUCAAUUGGUUUUGGGAAUGGAGACAAUACAACAAAGAUAUUGUCAUACAGUUACUAUGAUCUACCUUCUUAUCUGAAGCCAUGUCUACUGCAUCUAAGCAUACUUACUGAAGACUCUAUCCGUGAUAGAAAGAGUGUGAUUUGGAUGUGGAUAGGUGAAGGUUUUGUCCAUCCUGGGAAAAAGGAGGGUAGCCAAUUUGAAGUUGGAGAAAGAUACUUCAAUGAGCUUGUCAAUAGAAGCUUGAUACAACCAAUGGACAAUGAUUUCACACAAUGUUUCUGUAUUCAUGAUAUUGUGUUUGAUCUUAUCCGUAAGUUAUCAGGCAUUGAAAACUUUGUUACUAUUUUGGACAGCAGUGAUCAACAUGCUUCUCUGGACAGUUUAAGAAAUAGGAAGAAAACAGGCAUGACUCAUACGGAUAACAAGGUACGCCGGCUGGUUGUCCGAAAUCACCAUGUGCAGUGCUUCCCUGAAGACACCAUGCCAGAGGUGCUGAGGUCAUUUAACAUUGAAGAUAGUAAGAUUGAGAUUAUGGACCAACUUCAUAGGUUUAGAGUUUGCCGUGUGCUACAUUUACAGGGAUGCUAUGUCCCGAUCAGUCUAAAGCACAUAGGGAGGUUGUUGCAUCUCAAGUACUUAGGUAUAUCUUACAUAGCAGUUAAUGAGCUUCCUAUGGAACUUGGGCAUCUAAAGUCUCUACAGGCACUAGUAUUAGUCGAUAUUGGGCUAGACGAGCUACCACCGGCUGUAUGUUCACUUACACAACUGAUGUGCCUGAUAGCUGAGGGGUUCAAAAGGUUCCCAGCUGACAGGAUGGGGAACCUAACAUCCCUAGAGGAGCUACGGUUAGAGACCGUAGCUGGUCGGAGUACCACGGAGGACCUUGUGGUAGGGCUUGGCAAGCUGACGAGGUUGAGGAUGGUCAAGAUCACCUUCUCCGAGAAACUAGAUGAGAGCUUGCAAAAAGCUCUGGUGCGAUCUCUUUGCAAUCUGCGGGAGCUCCAGGAACUAGUGCUUGCUUCUACAGGAUUAUCCCAGCAGGGAGCCACUAUGUGGGAAGGCUGGGAACCACCUAUGCAGCUCCGGCGCCUCCUUAUAUAUGGCAUCCGUUUCUCGCGGCUGCCUGGGUGGAUCAAUCGCUCCCGCCUGCCACGCCUCUGCUUCUUAUUUUUGGGUGUGUACACUAUUGAAGUUCAGGACCUAGAUAACCUAGCGAGCUUGCUAGAGCUGAGCUACCUCGACCUAGGUGGUUACAGCUGGCCUCCAGGGUAUACUGUUGGUACGGACGGCUUCAGGAAUCUGAGGUUCUGCAAAGUGGGCACAGCGCUCAAGUUUCAUAUGGGCGCCAUGCCAAGGCUUGAAGAGCUGCAGUUUAAAGUUUAUGCAGGGUAUUGGAGUUGGGUAGAAGAUGGCGUGCCGUUGGAGCAGUUCCCAACAAAGGAAGUAAUCGAAGAUCUUGACUUGGGCCUGGAUAACCUCCUUUCACUUGAGAAAGUCAUCGUCCAAGUGGACUGCUCGGGUGCUACUGCCGCAGAAGUGCAGGAGGUGGAGGCCAUGGUCACGCGUGCAGUGGAAAAUCAUCCCAACCGCCCAACCAUAAAAAUGGAUCGAGAAUGUGAAGGAAACAUCUUAUCUGACGAACGCAGGGUGGCUCUGCUUCAGCAACACAUUGAAAGACAUCUCGGUGUGCUCGAGUGGAAGGAUGCACCUGAUGCGCAAUUCAUCAGCUAUCUGCGGAAGUACCGACAUCUUCAGAAAGCCGUUAAUUUCAUCGACUGUGCGGGCGCCAGGAUGUGUGAGGUGGAGAAAGUGGAAGCAGCUUUUAGGCGUGCAGCCGAGCUUCAUCCUAACCAUCCGACUAUCCAACUGAUCAGAACAAACACCGAUGAAAUGGUCUCCUCGUCUGACCGUCCGGAUACAGAGCGCUAUUUUCCUUCACAAACUCCAGCUGGACGACGAUCAUGAUGAUUCACCAGAUAAUUUGCUUUGCAAACUCCAGCUCAGGAAUUGAUAGCUCUGUUUGUCAAUCCUUCCAACUCAGCAGUGGGUCGCUUUGGCACCAAUCAUCCUAGACCAAGCUAGCUCAUGGAUGAUGGCAAGGUAAAUGUGAGUUGUUUAAGUACUGAAGAGACAAGUCCCAUUCAACAAGAUGAUUACAAGCAUUCGAAGAGCUUGUUAGAUUUGUGGUUCUUAGUGUAAAACCACAUUGAAGAGGUAGAUGAACCACAAGUGAUGCAGUUUAUGUGUGAACUAUAUUUGUCUCUAUUUUUAGAAGAUGGUUCAUAUAUUUCCUCAAAAGUUAUCUUGUUUGAUUUUGUGUGAAGUGUAUUUUAAUAACAUGGGUUAUGUAUUUCCUUGGAAACGACCAUAUGAGUUUGUGUGUAAACUAUAUUUUCCCUUUUUGAGAUGGGUUGUGUAUUUGCUUGAAAGACAGGGAUGAUGUAAUUUCCUUGAAAAUAAUCAUGACAUUUGAACUCUGGUUGUUUAAAUAAA